UACGAAGGGGGCUAGCGUUGCUCGGAAUCACUGGGCGUAAAGGGUGCGUAGGCGGGUUUUUAAGUCAGGGGUGAAAUCCUGGAGCUCAACUCCAGAACUGCCUUUGAUACUGAAGAUCUCGAGUCCGGGAGAGGUGAGUGGAACUGCGAGUGUAGAGGUGAAAUUCGUAGAUAUUCGCAAGAACACCAGUGGCGAAGGCGGCUCACUGGCCCGGUACUGACGCUGAGGCACGAAAGCGAUGGGGAGCAAACAGG
rnacentral:rRNA from 1 species